rfam:Clostridium sp. HMP27 Clostridium-HMP27_contig_55, whole genome shotgun sequence.
UUUUCCUUUAAGAAAGGUCCCGUGAGACCUGGAAGGAAUGGUAAUUAGUAUGUAUAAAAUUAAUUAUGUUAUAAAUUAAUUUUAUAUUAUGUGCGGACUAUACCUUCCUUUUGAUAAAAGGAAGGUUUUUUUAU